AGUCCAAAGACAUGCAGUUAGUGGGUUAGCUGGUGAUUCUAAAUUGCCCAUAGGUGUGAACGUGAGUGUGAAUGGUCAUCUCUCUGUGUUAGCCCUGUGAGAGACCGGUGACCUGUCCAGUGCGUAUCCACCUCUUGUCCUAAGACAGACAGGAUCGACUCCACGCUCUGUGACCCUAAAUUAGAUGGAUGGCAUUUCUUACGGGCAAAGAAAUCAAAUAUAGCUCCCUCAACUGUGACAUUUGUUGAGGGAGCACACACACACACACACACAAAAGGGUGUGACCUUGACCCAGUUUUCACCCAAAUUAAGUCAGCUUGAGGUGUUACUGGUGUCUACCAUUCCACAAAAUUUUAAAAUGACAUCUUGAAGUCUGUGGCUGCUAGACUCCUAACAAACAGAUAAAGAAACCACAACCGAUCGUAUACUCCCUCCCUUGUGGGAGAGAAAAAUGUUACUCCAAAUAGUUUUUUGUUCUCCACAUAGUAAGCAGCCAUAAAGUCUACAGUCACCAAUUCUGGGUAAGUCAUUGAAAAAGCUUAAAGGUUUUUCAGGAUUGAGUUUUGGUAAAACAUUAAAUGGACUGCUCAUAUUAUCCAAAAAGCAAACCAUCAAGCGGGAGACCUUGUGUAUCUGUCUCCAGGAUGGCAGAUAUGCAGGCAGGCGCAUUUCUGUUGAAUAUGUCCCCGAUCAAACAAAGAUUUAAUAUUUAACAUAUAAGUCCCUCAAGAGCAACUAGAAAAAGAUUAACUGCAUCACAAGUGGCAGUGAUUGCCCUGGUGAAUUAUCUAAAACAUAACAAGUUCCACAUGGGUGGUGAAUUAAAGGAAAAACAAAACAAAGAACAAUGUGAAGUUUCUUGGGAAGUGCUCCAAUGUGCCACUAGGACAACUUUACUGCACCUUGGCACGAUGCUGUGACUGAGUUUCUAGUAACGUAUUUGAUGAAUGGAACACCUUUUUACAAAUGAUGUUCCCUUAUUAUUUAUUUUGACGAUUCUGCACUACAGAUGGAGGCAUUUCCAUCCUAGAAGAAACAGCUCCCAUUAGGAUAGAAGGGUUUUAUCACAGGAUGAAGAUGAUUUGCUCUUUUUUUUUUGCCACCAGAUUCCUUUUCCAUAGUGAUUUAAUGGUUCAUGUUUUUCCUUUAAUUUGUCACCCAUCUGUCCAUUUGUGUAAACUGUCUCUACUGCUGCUUUUCUUAUCAGUAGGUGGUGCGAGGUUGGAUCCAGAGGUGCAGACGUGAACCGGUGUGAACCUGUGAGUUCCAGUGUCAUGGAUUUGAGUUCACCAUCCUCAGUGACACUGGUGCUGUUGUUUCACAGAGCUGCUCGCAACAGCACCAGAUCAGUUCAAGAAAUUAAGUCUGCUCACUUCCAGCCAAAUUACUCAGCCAACAUUUUGUGUUUUGACAAAACACGUAUUUGCCUUCGUUAGAGCUGAUCCAACAUUCGCCAUAUGUGAACAGAUAAUCUGCUCGAAACCCUAAUCACAGAUAAUAUCACAAGCGAUCUGGCUGUGAAAUGCAGAUAAAUUUGGCAGAGAGGACGAAAACAAAUAGGGUGUCGCAUCUCUAUCUAAAUUGCAAACACGAGCCUCACGAAUGCCCGCGUUCAUUUCACGGCAAUCCUGCUUUCUGAUUAAAGCUCGCCUGAUUUUUUUACCUGUAGCCUCUGUAAAAUUAUAAUGACGUCAUUCUUUCUGAGAAAGUGGCACAUUUCUUUUUUUUUUUUUUUGUAGGAAAACUGCAUAAUUCUAAUUCAUGAGAUGAAUUUUAAAGGUGUUUUUCCACAGCGGAUCUAAAGUAUAUGCCGAGUGUCAUGAUAAUACCCUGCCUUCUGUCACCGGGGGUGGAAGAAUCGCACAAUUACCUCGAGGGCUCGGGAAGCUCUCUUGCAUAAAUCACAUCCACUUUACGCUUAAAAUAUGUUAAUCCAUUAAUAUCAAAGGGCAUCGUCUCUCCUUCAGCACACUCUUUGAGCUUUGUCUAAUUUCUAAUUCAUUUAGACCCAAAGAAACAUAAUCAAAUAACCACUGUUUACAAAAUGUGUUUCAGUCUGAAGUGUCCACUUCAAGUCUCCCACACACUGAGUAGAAAAUACUCCCCCAAAAGGUGAUGAUUUUAUUUCAUGUAGGAGUUUGAAGAUAGGCAAUAGUUUGCAUCGUAAUACCACUCAAAUCCUUAAAUUAUCUUCUGAAGACAUUAUUCCUGCCCCCAUUCUGCUUCUCCUUUGUUCUGUUUGUGAUUGAAGACAGGUCAGAAACCGGCUACCCUGCACAUCGUGUUUCUGGAAACUCUUCUGUUGUCUGCAAAAUACAUGAACACAGAUUUUAAACCAAAAUGACAUGAUGAUUUCUGGCGAGGCUUCAGUGAACAGUAGACGGAUCAGCUGAAGAGCCAGAUGCAUCUCUCACAUCCUGCAGAGAACACUGCAUCGCUGCGUUUUUCUGUACAGUGCAGGUGUACCCUGUGCAAUGUUCUUCUGGGGAACUUUGGGCCCUGUCUCUUUGACUGAGUGUGCAGUGUUUUGGUAAUCAUGCUCCCUGAUGGCAGCAGCCUUGCCCAGCUGGACAGCGUUGACCCAGCUUCCAAACAUCUCAGAUGUCAAUGCAAAGCAUCAGUGGGAUGCUUUGGAACAAACCCAAUCCAUGGAGUCCCCAGACCACAACGCCCCAAAGCUGGACACCACAGAACAACCCAACGGGUCAUGUGUACAUGGACACGCUGAGAGGGAAGUGAGGAAACUCUCCCCAGAAUGCAUGUCAGAGAUAUUAUAACAAAGAGAGGGAGGGAGAGAGCAUGAUGGCACCUAAAGAAUCCAACACUGGGAUUUAUGGGAGAACUGUGCAACAGCAAAGAUGGUGUCCAAAAAGAACACGGAUAUAUUUAAAACCUUAUUUGUGGGCCAAAGUCUGCAAACCUGUUUAAGCUGUUUCUACUCAGAAUACAUGCUUGAAAUUAAAGUUCAUUUAGAUCAAGCUUCAGCAUAACUGCCCAAGUAAGUGUUGGGAAGCAUUUCAGUAGUGGCAGACUAGUUUCAAGAAGCACUUUGGUCCUAAUAAAUCACUUUAUUACUACAAUCUAAUUUAGUAAAAUGGAACAUGUUGAUUGUAUAAGACCACAAAAUGUCAUAUUUUUGUCCUUUCCGUUGCUUAUGCACACACACAUGCACACAAAAGAAAAUUGUUUCAUAAUGGACCCUCUUCAGCUAAAUUGGUUGUCUCUGUGUAAUAAAUGGGCUUCACUGGGAACAGCUGUUGCUACUCUGCAGGCACAGGGAACAUUUUGUGACGAGGACUCUGUGAAUAUCAACGGGUUUUUAGAUUGUUUUUCUCUGAUUGAGGGCACAUUAUUAUGAUGUUAGCUGCUGUUGUUUAUCACAGUGGCCCCAAAAGUGCUUCGAGUCCUAAAGUGAGUGCCGGCGCGUUUUCGUUCUCUUCUUAAAACGACGAGUAUGAAAACGACUUUUAUUUUGCGUACUGUGACUUUUUCUACAGUUUGGAUUUCAAGUUUUAAACAACACCGAAAGACUGGCUGCUGUGCAUCCAGCAGUCUCUCCAGUACGUUUCUCCUUUAGGAGGCCAGAAAAGGGUUCGUGUCUUCCCCCCGCCCUCCCAGCCACACAAUGACUGCUUUAAUUUCCAUUACUGGAGAAGCAGCCAAGCUGGAAUGUAUUAAUAUAAAGUGCAUGAUUCAAGUCAGAAGUACUGCAAAUAUUCGUUCCCCUCCACUAUACAGUGUCUCCCAGUUUGAGGAGAAUCUGUAACUGUGAUGUCAAAGCUUAGAAACGACACAUUGAUAUCAGUGGUCGGGACAGGCUGUAAUUUUGGCCAGAGUCGAAGCUUUCAAAGUGGCGACGUCUAUAUUUAUAAAGGCACUUUGUGUUCUAACUUUAGUGACCGGUGCUCAGCACAGCUCUGGUCUGAAUAUGGACACACAUCCUGACACCGUGCAGCCAUAAUGAGCAGUCUCGAUUUGUGGCAGAUAACUGCCGGAAGCUUUGUCCCCACGUUUGUUCAGCCCGAGUGCAAAACCUGCAGCCAGUGCCAAGCAGGUCACCGCUUUUACACGAGGUAUUUUAGGGCUCGCCGUUGAAGGAAAUUCUGUGGAAGCUUAAGCAGUUCCUCAUCUAGGAGUUUUAAUUGGCUUCCCAGGAAAGAGAAUAGCAUUCAUAACCUUGAAUUAGGAGGCGAUGUGGUAAGCUACUGUCAGCUGAUUGAUGGUGAGUUGAGCUGCUUAUCCUGGUGCUGCUGGAUUUUAUUUUUAACCUGGUGGCACCUGACAGGCCCAGGGCAUGAGGAAGACCUCGGGUGGGGAAUGACAACAGAGAGGAUCGACACAUAAAUCUAGGCAAAUAUGAAGCUGCAGUAAAAAGAAAAAAAAUACUGCAGAGGGAAGAUGUGGAAUACGUGCUGUUGUGGUCGAAAGAGUGCUUUCUUCAGAGUGUUUGGCCUACAUUUGGUUGUUGGGCACGCCUCUUACUCUUGCACUUGAUGCAAAUCAGGUGUUGGCUUUCAUCUCAGUAUUCAAGCAGGGUUUAAUCACAGUGGCCGCGUCUUGUGUCGUUACUAGGAAGGCAGAAAAACAAGACAGAGCUGGCCUAAUUUUUUCGCAGCACGAAGUAGCUGCGGUGAAAAAUCCAAGCCCAGCUGUAGCUGAUUACUGAGGGACAACGGGUUCCAACCUUUUGUACCACGG